AUCCAGCUGACGAGUCCAAAAUAGGACGAAAUGUAUAUCCUCAUUAGAU
rfam:Trichobilharzia regenti genome assembly, scaffold: TRE_scaffold0000976